GAGUGAAUAGCUCAGUUGGUAGAGCGGUCGUUUUACACACGAUAGGUAAAGGGUUCGAGACCCUUUUUACUCA
rnacentral:tRNA from 1 species